rnacentral:lncRNA from 1 species
GUGCGUACAUAUGAGGAAAUUAUUCGCUUCCACCAAGGUAAUUUGCUCUUCACAAAUUAUCCUUGCGAAAGUUAACUAUUUUUCAUACGAAUUUAAAAAAAAAGAAUUAAAUUCCUUGAUAAGAAACUGAUGUGUAUAUAUACAUCGAACGAAUGAAAAAUUAAGCAGAAGCGAUAAUUUUGUUUGUUAUAAUUAAUUGGAAAAUGGAAAUUUCAAACGAAUACCUAUUAUUUACGCAGAUAAGAGGAAUAAUAAGCGGUAGCGUCUAACCAAUCAUUCACAACUAAUGUGAAUUGAAUCGAGAACAAUGAAGAGAAGUCGUUAUUCUUGUAAAAUUUUCCGUUUGUCUUGUUUGUAAGCAUUUUUUUGUUUUUUCUUCAAUUUUACUUAAUCACUGAUACGAACGGAAAGAACGUAAUCCUAGUUUUAUAUUCUACACGACGUCGAACCAUGACAACCUAAUGAUAUAUUUCCGAAAGUAAGAUAUGGGUAUUUUUUCCUUUUCGAUAAAUAUAUAUGUAUACAGUAUACAGUAGACCUAUACCGAAGGUAGGCUAGCAGAAUGGUCUCUGAAGAAAUUAAGAUAAAUACGUAUAUAUUAAUUUCUUCAGAGACCAUUCAUCCAGAAAGAGCAUUCCUUAAGACUUCUUGAAAUUCAACCUGGAUUCCGCAUCUUAGUGCAGGUCGUUUACCUUACUUCGUUGCUAGUCUAGAGAGUUGUGCGCGUGAAAAGAAACGAUCCCUUGUCCCAGAUCACUCUAUGGAUCUUCCAGGUGACUACCGCUUGAGUCUUCUCGGCACCAAUUUGUCGCUCUGUCGAUCUCAGAUUCCCAUUGGAUCAGCUAGUGGAAAUCGUUGUACUCUUCUCCACGGCCUGGCCUCUUCCAUCUUCACGAUUAAUAUCGUUACAUGUUCUUCAUUGACAUUAAAAUUAAUUCUCUUUUAUAGAUUGUUUGUUGGAGUAAGCCGACGGAAGAAAAUGGCUUGUGUUGACUUCUUUAAUGGGUCUCUAGUAAAAAUCGCGAUUUCUUUUUUUUUCUUUUUUUUUAAAUAAGAGGCAGUUCGAUAUAUUUAAUCACCCGAUUUGUCUCCUCUAUUCUUUAAAAACAGAUUAGUAAAAUCGUGCCAUUUCUCAUAACGCGCGAACUGUUUGGAUGGUAUAACAGAUACCAAACUAGAUUAAUAUUUUCUGGGGAAUUACCGAAAACUGUUUUGCGAUUCUGAGAGUUUUAUAACGAUUUCGGAUGGUAAUUAAUAUCGAACCGCCGAUAAUUUAAUUACAUUUAAAAUUCGAGCGAAAAAUAAUAAACGAAACUCGUAUAUAAAGCGAAUUUGUAUUUUUUUUGUUUUUGUUUUCGGCAGCGACAUUUAAAAACGGUAAAAGAGAG